AGGUGAUUCCAGUGUUUUCACUAGCUCUUUUAGAUUGCUGCUGGAUGGCUUUUUGUACCAUCAAGGGAUUUCAGAGGACGGAUUGUGUAUUUUUCUGACCUUUACCCAAGUGUUCACGCCCAAUCCUGAAAUGUACCGCGCAUAUGAAGAGAUGAAGAAAGCUGCCGAAUGUAAAGAUUAAGAUGUUUCAAUAUUGUAAAGGUGCUAAAUAAAUAAAAAAAAACUGUGGUAACAAAAUAUUUGAGCUUUAAUAGAAGCAAGAAUGGUAUGGGAGUCUUGGCAGUGAAUUAAGUUAUCUUGAUUUCGAAAAUAAGUAGUCAAACCUAGAAGACGUAAAGCAGCAAAAGGAAUGCAAUACAAAAGCAAAAUUGCUCCAUAUUACAUAUAAAUUUAACUUAUUUUUAUAUGCUAAACAAGUCGGCAACGCUGAGAAAAUUCCAGACUCAAUCAACCUGAUUGGUGGACUUCCGUUGCCGCGCGGUAGAAAUGCGCAUGUUUG